UUUGAUCUGCUACAUGUUGAGAGUUUACAAAAUUUUCUUUUUAAUAAUUAAAAUGCUUUAUCAGUGAUAUUAUGCACAUAAUAUAUUGUAUAUUUACAUUUACAAAAUAAAAAUACCAACAAACUCAUGUUUUUUUAUACAACAUGAUUGAAAGAAAUAAUAGUCAUUGUGAUCUAUCGGCCUUUACCGUUCCACCCCCAAUUCUGUUAACUGUUAAAGCAUUAAGAUAUCUGAGAAAAGUAAUUUACUAAUCGCGAUGAUGCGAAAUGGCCCCCAAACUUUCCCCUAAGCCUGCAAUCUGCAAGGAAUUCGACUCAGUCGACUCAGUCGAAAUUGUCUUCAUUACUGUCGCCUUCACAUAACUUUUGAUCGUGCUGACACAGACCUGCAAGAUUAUCGCCUCGGGGUUCACGAACAUAAUACUGUGAUGUCGCAGACCAAGGAAGUAGAUAAUAAGGGGGAGUUCUCAUGUGAAGGAAUACUUGGAUGCCAAAGUUGCAGCCAGGGAUGGUUCUGUCGCACCAUAUAUAACGUCCCAGCCGUACUCUUAAUCGCUGUGGGAUUUAUAUUAAUCCUGGUCAUCGCUAAAAGAGCCUCCAAAAUGAUUCGCAGAUGGAAACGUAGGCGCCGCUCCUGUCCCUGCCGAUGAAAUAUGUAUCAACAAAAAAACAAUGUAAACCACAUGAUUUAUCCCGGCGUGGUGUGGGUUUAUGAAUAUUGUCUCGUAAUACUAAUUCGCCUCACAUUGCUCCUGCUUAUAAGUGAUAACAUUAAUUUAAAUUAGUUUCAAUAGUAUAAAAAAACUUUUGCCGGUUACAAUGUCUUUUAAUUAUUACAUUAUACUCUACAAAAACAGCGACAUCUAUCAUAAUAAAAUGU